rnacentral:rRNA from 1 species
GUGGCGCACGGGUGAGUAAUGUAUAGGUAAUAUGCCUCUUACUAAGGGAUAACAAAUGGAAACGUUUGCUAAUACCUUAUACUCCUUAUUAACAGAAGUUAAUAAGGGAAAGAUUUAUUGGUAAGAGAUUAGCCUGUAUUGUAUCAGUUAGUUGGUGGGGUAAUGGCUUACCAAGACUAUGACACAUAACUGGUUUGAGAGGAUGAUCAGUCACACUGGAACUGAGACACGGUCCAGACUCCUACGGGAGGCAGCAGUGGGGAAUAUUGCACAAUGGACGAAAGUCUGAUGCAGCAACGCCGCGUGGAGGAUGACACAUUUCGGUGCGUAAACUCCUUUUAUAUGAGAAGAUAAUGACGGUAUUAUAUGAAUAAGCACCGGCUAACUCCGUGCCAGCAGCCGCGGUAAUACGGGGGGUGCAAGCGUUACUCGGAAUCACUGGGCGUAAAGAGCAUGUAGGCGGAUUAAUAAGUUUGAAGUGAAAUCCUAUA